UAUAAAACUGCUCGCUUGUGAGCCGCUUCUUCCAUUCAUCAUCGCUAAGAGAUUUGUAAUCCGCGGUGCCAGCCUCUGCACCAACAGGCAACUAGCUUCUUCAAUGUUCGAUAUCAUAGACAUGAACACAACAGCAAAUUGUUUAGAGCAAGAUUUGAUAAUGAAAAGAAAGGAAAAGGAAAAACCUCGGAUACCAUCUGGUCGCUGGGAAGAGGAGGAGGAGCCCAUAGCACGGAUAGAAAACGAUGAAAGCUUUUCGUUCUUGGGUGCUCUGAAAAUUAGAGGAGAAGCUAGCAGAGGCCCGUGGGGGGAGGGGUAUGCUUCUGAUUCUGCAAUCUUAGCCGUUUGAUGGAAUCUUAGAGCUGAUUGAUGGAAUAUGGAUGGUUAGAUUGGGAAGGAGGAAAGGGACGUUGUGAGCUGGGGAGCAUUUGAGUGGGUGGAUGAGAACAAGCCCUGUCUUAGCAGAAGUGGAUAUGUGUUGGCCACGUUUAUUCCCUUGGAGUUGCAUGAUUAUGAUGGAGCAGUGAAAGUGAUAAAGUGUACGAGUCAUGUACGUUAUAUUUGUAAGCAGAUUUGAAAAAGGUCGUAAAAUGAGCAUUUAUAUUUUCCAUUAACUAAUGACUAAGUUUCUUUGCAAUUCUUUGUAAUUUAGGUUGCAGGUAGAAUCAUUCAAGAUCGACAAGAUCAAUCUUACUUAUGGAAUGAUUCGAAUCUCAAACAAAUGUUCUUGCCUUGAGAUAUCCGAUCAACAAGGUAAUCCAA